GUGUAGGGGCGGGGGUAACUCUGUCCUUACAGAGUGGUAAACGGGUGAGUAACACGUAGGUAAUCUACCCUGGAGUGGGGAAUAACGGCUCGAAAGGGUCGCUAAUACCGCAUGAGUUCUCGAGUUCGCAAGGACUGGGGAAGAAAGGCGAAAGUCGCUCUGGGCGGAGCCUGCGGUCGAUCAGGUCGUUGGUGAGGUAACGGCUCACCAAGCCGCGGACCGAUAGCUGUUCUGAGAGGAAGACCAGCCACACUGGCACUGUGACACGGGCCAGACUCCUACGGGAGGCAGCAGCGAGGAAUAUUGCGCAAUGGAGGGAACUCUGACGCAGUAACGCCGCGUGGGGGAGGAAGACCUUCGGGUUGUAAACCUCUUUUUGUAGAGACGAGCGAGGACGGUAUCUAUAGAGUCAGUCUCGGCUAACUACGUGCCAGCAGCCGCGGUAAGACGUAGGAGGCGAGCGUUAUCCGGAUUCACUGGGCGUAAAGCGCAUGUAGGCGGAUGUGCAAGUCGUGUGUUAAAGCCCCUGGCUCAACUGGGGGAGGUCAUGCGAGACUGUAGGUCUGGAGGGCAGCAGAGGCACGUGGAACUCCCGGUGUAGCGGUGGAAUGCGUAGAGAUCGGGAAGAACACCAGUGGCGAAGGCGGCGUGCUGGGCUGCACCUGACGCUGAGAUGCGAAAGUGUGGGGAGCAAACGGGAUUAGAUACCCCGGUAGUCCACACCCUAAACGAUGAACGCUAGGUGUGGGUGGGAAUGCCAUCCGUGCCGCAGCUAACGCGUUAAGCGUUCCGCCUGGGGACUAUGAGCGCAAGUUUAAAACUCAAAGGAAUUGACGGGGGCCCGCACAAGCAGCGGAGCGUGCGGUUCAAUUCGAUGCGACACGCAGAACCUUACCAGGGUUUGACAUGGUGAUGGGUAGGGAAAGGGAAACUGGGACCGACCCGCAAGGGGAGUCAU
rnacentral:rRNA from 1 species